UGGCUCAGUCGGUAAAGAAUCUGCCUGCGAUGCAGGAGACCUGGGUUCGAUUCCCGG
rnacentral:tRNA from 1 species